rnacentral:misc_RNA from 1 species
GGGAGAAGGGAAAUGGAGAUGGAGAAGGUAAAAGAAGAGGAAAUGGUAGAUGGGUUGGAGUCAGGGAUGAGAAGAAAUAAAGUUAUGAGUUUGGUGUGGGAAGAUAUUACAGUAAUGGCAGACAAGAACUCCUACUCGAGAUUGCUGACGAGCAAAGCAGCAAAAGGCAGGAAGUUGCUGAAUGGUCUAAGUGGGUUUGCUUUGCCUUGUCGAAUUAUGGCCAUUAUGGGUCCUUCUGGCUCUGGCAAAUCCACCUUGCUUGAUUCAUUGGCUGGGAGGCUUUCGCACAACGUAAUAAUGACAGGAAAUGUUUUGCUGAAUGGGAAG